CCUACGGGGGGCAGCAGUGGGGAAUAUUGCACAAUGGAGGGAACUCUGAUGCAGCGACGCCGCGUGAGUGAAGAAGUAAUUCGUUAUGUAAAGCUCUAUCAGCAGGGAAGAAAGUGACGGUACCUGAAAAAGAAGCUCCGGCUAAAUACGUGCCAGCAGCCGCGGUAAUACGUAUGGAGCAAGCGUUAUCCGGAUUUACUGGGUGUAAAGGGAGCGUAGACGGUGAUGUAAGUCUGGAGUGAAAGGCGGGGGCCCAACCCCCGGACUGCUCUGGAAACUAUGUGACUGGAGUGCAGGAGAGGUGAGGGGAAUUCCUAGUGUAGCGGUGAAAUGCGUAGAUAUUAGGAGGAACACCAGUGGCGAAGGCGGCUCACUGGACUGUAACUGACGUUGAGGCUCGAAAGCGUGGGGAGCAAACAGGAUUAGAUACCCGGGUAGUC
rnacentral:rRNA from 1 species